AUAGGGGAGCCGAAGGGAAACCGAGUCUUAACUGGGCGUUAAGUUGCAGGGUAUAGACCCGAAACCCGGUGAUCUAGCCAUGGGCAGGUUGAAGGUUGGGUAACACUAACUGGAGGACCGAACCGACUAAUGUUGAAAAAUUAGCGGAUGACCUGUGGCUGGGGGUGAAAGGCCAAUCAAACCGGGAGAUAGCUGGUUCUCCCCGAAAGCUAUUUAGGUAGCGCCUCGUGAACUCAUCUUCGGGGGUAGAGCACUGUUUCGGCUAGGGGGUCAUCCCGACUUACCAACCCGAUGCAAACUGCGAAUACCGAAGAAUGUUAUCACGGGAGACACACGGCGGGUGCUAACGUCCGUCGUGAAGAGGGAAACAACCCAGACCGCCAGCUAAGGUCCCAAAGUCAUGGUUAAGUGGGAAACGAUGUGGGAAGGCCCAGACAGCCAGGAUGUUGGCUUAGAAGCAGCCAUCAUUUAAAGAAAGCGUAAUAGCUCACUGGUCGAGUCGGCCUGCGCGGAAGAUGUAACGGGGCUAAACCAUGCACCGAAGCUGCGGCAGCGACGCUUAUGCGUUGUUGGGUAGGGGAGCGUUCUGUAAGCCGUUGAAGGUGUGCUGUGAGGCAUGCUGGAGGUAUCAGAAGUGCGAAUGCUGACAUAAGUAACGAUAAAGCGGGUGAAAAGCCCGCUCGCCGGAAGACCAAGGGUUCCUGUCCAACGUUAAUCGGGGCAGGGUGAGUCGACCCCUAAGGCGAGGCCGAAAGGCGUAGUCGAUGGGAAACAGGUUAAUAUUCCUGUACUUGGUGUUACUGCGAAGGGGGGACGGAGAAGGCUAUGUUAGCCGGGCGACGGUUGUCCCGGUUUAAGCAUGUAGGCGGAGGUUCCAGGUAAAUCCGGUACCUUUUAACGCUGAGGUGUGAUGACGAGGCACUACGGUGCUGAAGUAACAAAUGCCCUGCUUCCAGGAAAAGCCUCUAAGCUCCAGGUAACACGAAAUCGUACCCCAAACCGACACAGGUGGUCAGGUAGAGAAUACCAAGGCGCUUGAGAGAACUCGGGUGAAGGAACUAGGCAAAAUGGUGCCGUAACUUCGGGAGAAGGCACGCUGACAUGUAGGUGAAGCCCCUGCGGGUGGAGCUGAAGUCAGUCGAAGAUACCAGCUGGCUGCAACUGUUUAUUAAAAACACAGCACUGUGCAAACACGAAAGUGGACGUAUACGGUGUGACGCCUGCCCGGUGCCGGAAGGUUAAUUGAUGGGGUUAUCCUUAGGGAGAAGCUCUUGAUCGAAGCCCCGGUAAACGGCGGCCGUAACUAUAACGGUCCUAAGGUAGCGAAAUUCCUUGUCGGGUAAGUUCCGACCUGCACGAAUGGCGUAAUGAUGGCCAGGCUGUCUCCACCCGAGACUCAGUGAAAUUGAACUCGCUGUGAAGAUGCAGUGUACCCGCGGCAAGACGGAAAGACCCCGUGAACCUUUACUAUAGCUUGACACUGAACAUUGAGCCUUGAUGUGUAGGAUAGGUGGGAGGCUUUGAAGCGUGGACGCCAGUCUGCGUGGAGCCAACCUUGAAAUACCACCCUUUAAUGUUUGAUGUUCUAACCUGGUACCGUAAUCCGGUAUGGGGACAGUGUCUGGUGGGUAGUUUGACUGGGGCGGUCUCCUCCUAAAGAGUAACGGAGGAGCACGAAGGUUGGCUAAUCCUGGUCGGACAUCAGGAGGUUAGUGCAAUGGCAUAAGCCAGCUUGACUGCGAGCGUGACGGCGCGAGCAGGUGCGAAAGCAGGUCAUAGUGAUCCGGUGGUUCUGAAUGGAAGGGCCAUCGCUCAACGGAUAAAAGGUACUCCGGGGAUAACAGGCUGAUACCGCCCAAGAGUUCAUAUCGACGGCGGUGUUUGGCACCUCGAUGUCGGCUCAUCACAUCCUGGGGCUGAAGUAGGUCCCAAGGGUAUGGCUGUUCGCCAUUUAAAGUGGUACGCGAGCUGGGUUUAGAACGUCGUGAGACAGUUCGGUCCCUAUCUGCCGUGGGCGCUGGAGAAUUGAGGGGGGCUGCUCCUAGUACGAGAGGACCGGAGUGGACGCAUCACUGGUGUUCGGGUUGUCAUGCCAAUGGCAUUGCCCGGUAGCUACAUGCGGAAGAGAUAAGUGCUGAAAGCAUCUAAGCACGAAACUUGCCCCGAGAUGAGUUCUCCCUGAGACUUAGAGUCUCCUGAAGGAACGUUGAAGACGACGACGUUGAUAGGCCGGGUGUGUAAGCGCAGCGAUGCGUUGAGCUAACCGGUACUAAUGAACCGUGAGGCUUAACCUUACAACGCCGAAG
rnacentral:rRNA from 1 species